rnacentral:lncRNA from 1 species
UGCUACCGUCGAUCUAAGCAAUAAGAUGUAAAACAUGAUAAACAUCACAAUGCAAUCAUAUAGUGACAUGAUAUGGCCAUUAUCAUCUUUGUUCUUUCGAUCUCCAUCUUCAGGCAUUGCAUGAUCAUCAUCGUCACCGGAGUGACACCAUGAUCUCCAUCAUCAUGAUCUCCAUCAUCGUGUCUCCGUGAAGUCGUCACGCCAACUACUACUAUCACUACUACUACAGCUAACCGUUAGCAAUGAAGUAAAAGUAGUAAGCACAUGGCGUUGCAUCUCAUACAAUAAAUUAAGACAACUCCUAUGGCUCCUGCCGGUUGUCAUACUCAUCGACAUGCAAGUCGUGAAACCUAUUACAAUAACAUGAUCAUCUCAUAC